rnacentral:rRNA from 1 species
GAUGAACGCUGGCGGCGUGCUUAACACAUGCAAGUCGAACGGAAAGGCCCAAGCUUGCUUGGGUACUCGAGUGGCGAACGGGUGAGUAACACGUGGGUGAUCUGCCCUGCACUUCGGGAUAAGCCUGGGAAACUGGGUCUAAUACCGGAUAGGACGAUGGUUUGGAUGCCAUUGUGGAAAGUUUUUUCGGUGUGGGAUGAGCUCGCGGCCUAUCAGCUUGUUGGUGGGGUAAUGGCCUACCAAGGCGUCGACGGGUAGCCGGCCUGAGAGGGUGUACGGCAAAUUUGGGACGGAGAUCCGACCCAGACCCCUAGGGGGGGAGGAGGGGGGAAAUAUAGAAGAAGGGGGGGAAGCGGGAUGCAGCGCCCCGGGGGGGGGAAGGACGGCCUUGGGGUGGAAAACUCUUUCCGGAAGGGACAAGGCGUUUUUGUGAGGAUCCGGGAAGAAGAAGCCCCGGAUAACGAGGC